CAGCUAGUUGGCAGGGUAAAAGCCUACCAAGGCAUAGAUCGGUAGCCGGCCUGAGAGGGCACACGGCCACACUGGCACUGAAACACGGGCCAGACUCCUACGGGAGGCAGCAGUGGGGAAUCUUGCACAAUGGGGGAAACCCUGAUGCAGCGACGCCGCGUGAGCGAUGAAGCCCUUCGGGGUGUAAAGCUCUUUCGUCAGGGAAGAUAGUGACGGUACCUGGAGAAGCAGCUGCGGCUAACUACGUGCCAGCAGCCGCGGUAAUACGUAGGCAGCGAGCGUUGUUCGGAGUUACUGGGCGUAAAGGGUGUGUAGGCGGUUGUUUAAGUUUGGUGUGAAAUCUCCCGGCUCAACUGGGAGGGUGCGCCGAAUACUGAGCGACUAGAGUGCGGGAGAGGAAAGUGGAAUUCCUGGUGUAGCGGUGAAAUGCGUAGAUAUCAGGAGGAACACCGGUGGUGUAGACGGCUUUCUGGACCGUAACUGACGCUGAGACACGAAAGCGUGGGUAGCAAACAGGAUUAGAUACCCUGGUAGUCCACGCCCUAAACGAUG
rnacentral:rRNA from 1 species